CACGGAAGGCAGCAGUGGGGAAUAUUGCACAAUGGGCGAAAGCCUGAUGCAGCUAUGCCGCGUGUAUGAAGAAGGCCUUAGGGUUGUAAAGUACUUUCAUCGGGGAGGAAAAAACAAAACUAAUAAUUUUAUUUCUUGACGUUACCCGAAAAAGAAGCACCGGCUAACUCCGUGCCAGCAGCCGCGGUAAUACGGAGGGUGCUAGCGUUAAUCAGAAUUACUGGGCGUAAAGAGCACGUAGGUGGUUUUUUUAAGUCAGAUGUGAAAUCCCUGGGCUUAACCUAGGAACUGCAUUUUGAAACUGAAAUACUAGAGUAUCGUAGAGGGAGGUAGAAUUCUAGGUGUAGCGGUGAAAUGCGUAGAUAUCUGGAGGAAUACCUGUGGCGAAAGCGGCCUCCUAAACGAAUACUGACACUGAGGUGCGAAAGCGUGGGGAGCAAACAGGGAUUAGAUACC
rnacentral:rRNA from 1 species